AUUAACAAUAUUAUCAGUUAAACCAAUUCUCGGUAAAUACCUUAGAUCCCACCUAAUAUACUAAAAUUCUAUUACAAUCAUUUAUAUUUUAUGGCAAUAAUUGAUACAAAAUCGCAAUGAACGUAAACUUUUCUCCAAUAAAUCUUUAAAAAUACUCACAAGUCAGGGUACAGAUAAAAUUCGUAAACUCACAAGUAGGGUUCACAAUCACCAGCAAGUAACGUUCAGUUUACGGAAAUGACCUCCUUGGUAAAACUCUUAAAUUUAUGUUCAAGAUACAGCAAAGUGUUAUGCAUAUGACUAAAUUAUCGUUUGUUAUUUAUUACUUUAGUAGUUCGAUAUCACAAUUCAAUGUUUAACUAAAUCAACAUUGGAAUAAGACGGAUUUUUGUUCGUGUUCAGUGUUGAUCACCUGAAAGCUGUUCAUCAAAGAAAGUCGUUUUCGGCGGAGUGUUCAAAGAUUAGCAAGAAAAUCAUUGAUGACCAACAGUAUAUCAUUUAUGAAGACGGAGUUUCAUUCGUCGAUGCCAUGGAAUUUUGUCACCGAAUUGUGAAGUUAAAGAUGUUAUUUCGAACCUCGGGUGAAUGCAAAAGCUUCCAAAAUGAAGGUCCCGGAUACUGGAUUGGAGAAUGGUGUCAAGCGGAGCGUACUGGUAACAAUAUAAGUUGCUGGCAACACAUAAAUGCCUCCAAUGUGAUUCAAGUUUCUGGCAAGGACAGGUGUGCCUAUAUACAAUCUAACAUUGACAAUAAAAACGAGACAUGCGGCAAAAGUUCUGACUGUUUUAAGAAAAAGAUUCCCGUUUGCAAGUGUUACUAGUAACUUGUUAACCCACACAAAGAAUGAAAAUCAAAUUUGUAUCACUUUUUUCAGAUAAUUAGUUCAGAUAAUCAAGUAACUGGUGACAUAAAAAUCCAGGUUGAGAUGAAUGUUAAACAAGCUUAUCAUCCUGAAUCUUCAUUCGAUAAAGACAUUUGAGCCGCUUCACGACAAAACCAACAUAGUGCGUUUGCAUCCGCGCAGUCUGAUCAGGAUCCAUGCUGUUCGCUAUCAGUUUCUCUACUUGUAAUAGAGUUGGUAAGCGAACAGCAUGGAUCCUGAUCAGACUGCGCGGAUGCGCAGGCUGGUCUGGAUCCAUGCUGGUCGCAAACCCAUUAUGUUGGUUUUGUCGUGACGCGGCUCAUUUAAUUGUUGAGCUUUAUGUCGAGCUAGCUUCAAAUCUCGACUCGGCAUUUAAUAUUGACCAAAUUUUGGGCUAAAUGUCGAGCCAGCUUCACAUCUCGGCUCAAAAUUCAAUAUUGAACAAAUAUUGAGCUGAAUAUUGAACCAGCUUCAUAUCUCGCCAAGAAAUUCAACUUUAAUUAAAUGUUGAGGUUAACGUUGAGUCAGCUUUAUUUCACACCUAUAUAUGCAAUAUUUACCAAAUGUUGAGUUUGAAGAAUGUCGUGCCGGCUUCAUAUCUCAGCUCGACAUUCAAUAUUGACUAAAUGUUGAGCUGCAAGCAUAGACGAAAAAUCGUAAAUACGGUGGUAAAUUAUUCAAUUUCAUAUUUG